UACAUAUUAGCUUCAAGGUGACCUUCAUCAUAUACAUCAAGAACCUAAUCAAUCUAUUGUAGAAUUUUAUGCUCAGAUGCUCUCUUUUUAGGAUCUUUUAGCUCUUUCUGAAAUGGUACGAGAAACCACUAUGAUGCACAAAAGGUUCAUACUUAUCAAAACGAGGAUCACCUGACUUUGUUUCUAUGGGCCUCAAAGUUGCAUUUGAGCAUAUCACUAUAAGAAAAAUAAGUAUUAGUGACGGC
rnacentral:lncRNA from 1 species